UCCCGUGUGGCUCAGUUGGUAGAGCAUGGUGUUUGCAAUGCCAGGGUUGUGGGUUCAAUUCCCACGUGGGAC
rnacentral:tRNA from 1 species